UUUCGAAUCAUCCACAAUGGGCGAAAGCCUGAUGGUGCGACGCCGCGUGAGGGAUGAAGGUCCUCGGAUUGUAAACCUCUGUCACCAGGGAGCAAAAACUAGACUCAUACUCUAGCUUGAGUUAACCUGGAGAGGAAGUAGUGGCAAACUCCGUGCCAGCAGCCGCGGUAAUACGUAGGGACCAAGCGUUGUUCGGAUUUACUGGGCGUAAAGGGCGCGUAGGCGGCAAUUCAAGUCAUCUGUGAAAUCUCCGGGCUUAACUCGGAACGGUCAGAUGAUACUGCUUUGCUAGAGUGCAGAAGGGGCAAUCGGAAUUCUUGGUGUAGCGGUGAAAUGCGUAGAUAUCAAGAGGAACACCUGAGGUGAAGACGGGUUGCUGGGCUGACACUGACGCUGAGGCGCGAAAGCCAGGGGAGCAAACGGGAUUAGAUACCCCUGUAGUCCCUGAGCGGGCUGGCAAGGCGCAU
rnacentral:rRNA from 1 species